AAACUUAUUUAUCCUUUGCCAUUCCACAAACAGCUCACGAGCAAUAACAGUCACAAUACAAUGACAGCCUAUCUCCCUGAGGAAGUGGUGAUAAACAUACUCUCGCGCCUUCCUCCAAAAUCCCUAAUCCGAUUCAAGUGCGUCUCCAAAACCUGGCUCUCUCUCAUCGGAACCCCAGAUUUGAUCUCUCGAAACCUCAUCAACCACUCCACUCUCAUCUCUAAAUCCGAAGACCCCAAUAACCCUCUCUUCUUCCUCGUCAAAGCCACAGACAAAAUCGACACCUCGAAUCACACAUUCUCGUUCCUAUCCUACGACAAUCUCGAUCCAGAAUACACAUCCGAAGUCAUCCUUAACGUCCCACAACCAAACCACGGUCUCAACCUCGACAUCGUCGGUUCCUCCUCCGAUGGUCUCCUCUGUCUCUGCUUCGCAAGCACCAUCUACCUCUGGGACCCCACCACGUCAUCAGUGCUCGAGCCUCUCCCUCCUAUAACCCCUCGCGAAAUGGUCAAUGUCGAUUUCCACAGUGUUGGGUUCGGAUUCGAUUCCACAUCCAAUGACUUCAAGGUCGUGAGGCUUCUCAAUGUUCAUUUCAGGUCCGCGACCAAUUUGCUUCAUAUAAGUCAAGAAGCGGAAGUGUAUAGCGUCAGCAGUGGUUCGUGGAGGCAGCUGGAUCCUCAGGUUGCUCACGUGCCUUAUGGGAUUCAUACACAGUCGAGGGUCACAAUGUACUUGGAUGGGAACUUUUUCUGGUGCGCGACGCCGCUUCCAUUAGAUAAUAAUGAGGAUGAGAAGAUUGUUCGCUUCGACUUUGCUAGGGAGGUAUUCAAGUCUACUUCAUUUCCGGACGCUUGUGUUAUUGGGGAUUACUCCAGUUGGAAGACGACUCUCACCGCGUUGAACGGGUCUGUUGCUAUGCUGGUUUAUCCUUUUGGGAAGGAGGUGGAGAUGUUGUGUUUUGAUAUAUGGGUUUUGUUUGAAUUUGGUGUUAGGGAGUCGUGGACUAAGCUUAUUAGAAUUGGGCCCUCUUUGGAUUUGGAAAGGCCAUUGGGAUUUUGGGGGUAUGGAAAGAUGUUUAUGGAGAGCAAAGAAGGGCAGCUGGUCUUGUAUGAUCCUUCUACAAACACAGGCAAGAUUUUUCCAUUUGAUGGGCUUAAGGGAUCGUUACAAGUUGCUCUCUACACUGAGUUUUGGGAAACAAACGAGGACGGUGGUGAAGACCAAGAGGAGGUGAAUCAAUGAGGUGUGCAAGGAGUGUUACUGGACAUCAUCAUGGUGAUAUUAUAUUUUGAUUCGGGCUUCAUUCUUUGGUAAUAUAAUAAAGAGGUACAAUGCUAACAAAAGUGCUGUGAUUGCUGGGAGAAAAACACAAUGACUUCAGCUAUAUAAUUCAUGAUAUACUGUAAAUAUUCAAUAUAUAUAUAUAUAUAUAUAUAUUUUGUAGCAUUGAGUACUCAAGUGGGUAAAAAUUCACCUGUCAAGAAAAAAUAUAUAUAUAUAUAUAUACAUUCUUUUUUUCUUUUUGGGUAUAUUGCGAGAAGAGAAAGAUAUUGUGAUCAGAAAAAGAUUACGAACAAACCUGGGUUGAGAAACAACUAAAGCAUUCUGGGCUAGAGCACAUUUUCAUAAGAAAUGGGUCACACCAUUGGCAGUUCUACAGUUCAAGAAAAGCCCGGAUUUUGAAAUUUUCUUUGCCUGUUAGAAUGAUCAAUUCCCUUUAUUUUUUACUUCAACCCAAAUGGCGUGAUACUAAUGCAUGUAGACUAUCAGACUAUGUGACUGCUUUCUUAAUUAGAUUCGUACUUGCUGAGUGGUGACUGCUUUCUUAAGUAUACAACUCACCAAUGAUAACUCAAAAUUCAAUGGUGGAAGCUCUUGCUGUUGUUUCUGAAAGUGAAUGUUCCACAAUAAAUUAUGUAGUCUAAAGUGCCUGAAGUUAUGUGUGAGAUUCAAUGAAAGCCAUAUGAAAGGGAUAAUCUACUUACUGAAGCAUUCACCAAAUCUAGAGGCUUUCAUUAUUGAUUUUGAACCAAUGGAGGAAGAUCUUGCUGUUGUUUCUAAAUUGGGUAAAAUCCACAUCUUAUAAUCAUGAUUUCAAACAUUUAGUUUGUGUGCCUGAAAACAAUCUUAAAAUGAGUCUUCUAAUUUCCAGUGGUUUCUAUUUCUAUUUUCUGUGUCAGAGUUUAAUUUCAAAUGUUUCCAGGCAACCACAUAAAAAGAAUGCUACUUGUUUAUUUAAUCAUUUGAAGACGGUUGGGAUAAGGAACUUCAUUGGCUGAGUGGUUGAGCUAGAAUUGGUCAAGUUUUUGCUUUAUAGUGUGAAGGUAUUGGAGACGAUGGAUAUCAUUUAUUAAGAAUAUGAAGAAAAAGAUGAAGAGUAUUGAUAAAGUAUUGGCAUAUCCUAUAGCAUCUCUAUAUGUUGUUAUAUCAUCUCUACGUGUUGUUACUAAAGUUGCAUCUAUUAGAUUAUUGAUUGCUAUAACUUCUAUAAUUUAUUGAUACAUCAAAUGAAUGUAAAUACGACAUUUUUACAUGGAGAUUUAGAAGAAGAAAUCUACAUGGACCAACCAGAUGGUUUUACGUGCCAGGUAAUGAACACAAGGUAUGUAAAUAAUUAAAAUCUUUAUAUAGAUUAAAAUAAGCACCUAGACAGUGGCUUGAGAAAUUUGAUCAAUGUUUACUUUCUAAUGGUUUUAAAACAAAUGAAAGUGACAAGUGUAUACACUUGUCACUGAUUGUACUAUUGUGCAAUAUGCUAGUAUUAUUGGUAGUCUUAUAUAUGCUGUACCAGAUCCAAUAUUGCAUAUGCCGUAGGAGUUCUAGCAAGAUUUACUAGCAAACCUAAUUUUGAGAACUGCACAUGGGCCCGUUUGUUACUGUUAUUUAAACAACAGUUUUUAAUGUUUAAACAACACUAGUCAUUAACCAGUGUGAUGCACAGGAAAAUUACUGAAAAUGAAAUAUAAUGAAUGCAAAGCAAUUAUGCAAAAUACCAUUUAAAUUAAAUGACAAAUAUUAGUGAAUGUUGUUAUCCUUAGCUGUUUGUGUUAUGUUUAGAGUUUCAUAUCUAAGUUACUACAAUACUACUUGUAGCAAUUGAAACUCACAAUAUAAGUAUAAUAUAUGAGGCUAAAACUUAUUUUAUCUUCAAGCUCCUCUUAGCCUUACAGAGUCCCUAACAAAUUAAAAAGAAAAAAUAAAUAACAUUACAACAUUGUAGUUGAUUAAUAUACAAAUAAACUAUCAAUUUAACAUGAUAAAUCACUAUUAGUUAUUUAGAUAGAAAAAAUUAACAAAAUUAAAGUUGUUAUCCAUUUAACCUAAAACUUUUCAUAUUUUAAAGUUGUCAAACACCUAUUAACAAAUAGCUAUUGAUAUAAAAUAUUCAGUAAUUACUUCAAUACCACAAAUUGUUCAUACUGUAAAAAAUUUGACAGAAUAACAUAGCAAGCAUCUUAAACUCUUUCUUGCUUGGAUCCUACAAAACAAUAUAAAUAUAUAUAUAUAUAUAUAUAUAUAGUGAUGGAGGCAGAACAUGCCAUUAAAGAGACAACCAAUUACGAUAGUAUUGGAGGCAAAGUAAAAGAUUAAAAAAAUUGAAGAAGCAAAUGGUUUGGCUAGCAUACCAGCUAGUUAAUUUAUAUCAAAAGACAUGAAAAUCUUACGAUCAAAUAGAAUCCAUAAGUAAAUAAAUACAUGUGGUACAAUCAGAUAAAUAAAAGGUUUGUCAAGAUAAUCAAGUUUGGCAAUGAAGAAGACGUUGUAGCUAUUAAUGAUGGUAAUCUCUAUCUUAAACUUGUGAUAAUGAUGAAGAUGCAACAACUACUAAUUAUGCAGAUCUAGCAUAAUCUUAUUUUGAUUCAACUACAACAAAAAUGACGAUAAUUACCAUAAAAAGAUUAUAUCAAAAAACAGUCUUUGAUGAUAUAGCCAAGAGUACAAUAAAAGCUAAUAGAAGGAAUUUUAAAUCACUUUCAAUGAUGGAGGGAUUCACUUAAAUAAGGAGACCAAGAAAAAAGGAGAAGUAUAGAGUAUAGUAUUGAAUUUUAAACUCUAUAAUUCAUUUGAUAACUGCUAAAAUACCUUAGCAAAUUGAAUUUCUAUAGGCACGGAUUACAUCAUUCAAUUGAAUUUCUGUAGGCACGGAUACUACUAAAACUCUAUCAUUCAGUUUUCUAAUUACUAAAACUUUAUCACACAGAUACUAUUAAAAUUCUAUCACAUAGAUUACACAAUAUAAACCAAUAAUAUUAUCGCCCCAAACAUUAAAAAAAAAAACCAAUUUUAAACGUAAAAAUAAACAA